rnacentral:rRNA from 1 species
CCUACGGGCGGCUGCAGUGAGGAAUAUUGGUCAAUGGCCGGAAGGCUGAACCAGCCAUGCCGCGUGAAGGUCAGUGCCCUAUGGGCGUUAAACUUCUUUUGUGCGGGAGCAAUAAUGGUCACGUGUGGCCAGACGAGAGUACCGUACGAAUAAGCAUCGGCUAAAUCCGUGCCAGCAGCCGCGGUAAUACGGGGGAUGCAAGCGUUAUCCGGAUUUAUUGGGGUUAAAGGGUGCGUAGGCUGUGAGGUAAGUCAGCGGUGAAAUGCCGCCGCUCAACGGGGUGAAGUGCCAUUGAUACUGCCUUGCUGGAAUGCAGAUGCCGUGGGAGGAAUGUGUGGUGUAGCGGUGAAAUGCAUAGAUAUCACACAGAACACCGAUUGCGAAGGCAUCUCACGAAACCGCGAUUGACGCUGAUGCACGAAAGCGUGGGUAUCAAACAGGAUUAGAUACCCGAGUAGUC